rnacentral:rRNA from 1 species
CCCAGAUCCAGCACCGCCGCACCAACUACUCCACCGCCGUCCCUUCCAAACGCUAGUCCUGGCCACCCCAUUCUCCCCUUCCUUGUGCGGCGCCGCCCCUACCUCUCUUCCUCCGCUGACCUCCCAUUCGGUGGAAGCAGUGCAACCAUUGUCGGAUCUGGCCGCGCUGGUCAUCGGUGCUGUUCGGAUCUGGCCGUGCUGGUCAUCGGUGCUGCCGGAUCUGGCCGCUCUGGGCCUCAUCAACUCCGCCCCGGUUGUUCAACUCUCCACUGCCACUUCCCCCAUCAUCAUCCCAUAUGCCUCGCUCGGAUCCGUGAGAGGGUAAGACUGGGAGUGUAGCCGCUUUCGAGGAGCUCGUCCCCGACGGCCUCUCUAUGGACUUCCUCCACCACACUCCCAAUGCCACUGCCUUUAGAACGUCCAUCAACCGCGAGCUGCAUCGACAUCGAGUGUUCCUCUUCUUGGUGGGGCGUGCACCUUCUGGGGUUGAAGGCCUGGAGCACCUGCUGCUCUGGAGGACGGAUGGCGCGGUGGUCGUAGGGCUGCUCCAAAACACCUCUACAGUCGUCACCAGUCACACCACGACGCCUCUCUCAUCAUCGAGCUCAUCACCUCUGGUUGUGGAUUCUAAGUGUAUGGCAGAAGCAGGAAUGCGACCAGAGGCAAGCUGAG